rnacentral:rRNA from 1 species
UACGAAGGGGGCUAGCGUUGUUCGGAAUCACUGGGCGUAAAGCGCACGUAGGCGGACUGAUAAGUCAGGGGUGAAAUCCCGGAGCUCAACUCCGGAACGGCCUUUGAUACUGUCAGCCUCGAGCCCGGAAGAGGUGGGUGGAAUUCCUAGUGUAGAGGUGAAAUUCGUAGAUAUUAGGAAGAACACCAGUGGCGAAGGCGGCCCACUGGUCCGGUGCUGACGCUGAGGUGCGAAAGCGUCGGGAGCAAACAGG